AUUGAACGCUGGCGGCAUGCCUUACACAUGCAAGUCGAACGGCAGCACGGGUGCUUGCACCUGGUGGCGAGUGGCGAACGGGUGAGUAAUACAUCGGAGCGUACCUUAUCGUGGGGGAUAACGCAGCGAAAGCUGUGCUAAUACCGCAUACGCCCUGAGGGGGAAAGCGGGGGAUCGCAAGACCUCGCGCGAUUAGAGCGGCCGAUGCCUGAUUAGCUUGUUGGUGGGGUAAAAGCCCACCAAGGCGACGAUCAGUAGCUGGUCUGAGAGGAGGAUCAACCGCCCUGGGACUGAGACACGGCCCAGACUCCUACGGGAGGCAGCAGUGGGGAAUUUUGGACAAUGGGGGCAACCCUGAUCCAGCAAUGCCGCGUGAGUGAAGAAGGCCUUCGGGUUGUAAAGCUCUUUUGUCAGGGAAGAAACACCGGCUCUAACACAGUCUGGGAAUGACGGUACCUGAAGAAUAAGCACCGGCUAACUACGUGCCAGCCGCCGCCGUAA
rnacentral:rRNA from 1 species